rnacentral:rRNA from 1 species
UACGUAGGGAGCAAGCGUUGUCCGGAAUCAUUGGGCGUAAAGCGCGCGUAGGCGGCCUGGUAAGUCCGCUGUGAAAGUCAAAGGCUCAACCUUUGAAUGUCAGCGGAUACUGCCAGGCUAGAGUCCGGAAGAGGCGAGUGGAAUUCCUGGUGUAGCGGUGGAAUGCGCAGAUAUCAGGAGGAACACCAACGGCGAAGGCAGCUCGCUGGGACGGUACUGACGCUGAGGCGCGAAAGCGUGGGGAGCGAACAGG